UACGUAGGUGGCGAGCGUUGUCCGGAUUUACUGGGCGUAAAGCGUGCGCAGGCGGUGAUGUAAGACAGGUGUGAAAUCCCCGGGCUCAACCUGGGAACUGCAUUUGUGACUGCAUGGCUAGAGUGCGGCAGAGGGGGAUGGAAUUCCGCGUGUAGCAGUGAAAUGCGUAGAUAUGCGGAGGAACACCGAUGGCGAAGGCAAUCCCCUGGGCCUGCACUGACGCUCAUGCACGAAAGCGUGGGGAGCAAACAGG
rnacentral:rRNA from 1 species